GCGCUCACUUCAGCAGCACAUAUACUAAAAUUGGAGCAAUACAGAGAAGAUUAGCAUGGCCCUUGCAUAAGGAUGACAUGUUAAAAAAUAUAUAGGGCCAGAGAGAU